rnacentral:rRNA from 1 species
GAUGAACGCUGGCGGCGUGCCUAAUACAUGCAAGUCGAGCGAACGGACGAGAAGCUUGCUUCUCUGAUGUUAGCGGCGGACGGGUGAGUAACACGUGGAUAACCUACCUAUAAGACUGGGAUAACUUCGGGAAACCGUAGCUAAUACCGGAUAAUAUUUUGAACCGCAUGGUUCAACAGUGAAAGACGGUCUUGCUGUCACUUAUAGAUGGAUCCGCGCUGCAUUAGCUAGUUGGUAAGGUAACGGCUUACCAAGGCAACGAUGCAUAGCCGAACUGAGAGAGUGAUCGGCCACACUGGAACUGAGACACGGUCCAGACUCAUACGGGAGGCAGCAGUAGGGAAUCUUCCGCAAUGGGCGAAAGCCUGAAGGAGCAACGCCGCGUGAGUGAUGAAGGUCUUCGGAUCGUAAAACUCUGUUAUUAGGGAAGAACAUAUGUGUAAGUAACUGUGCACAUCUUGACGGUACCUAAUCAGAAAGCCACGGCUAACUACGUG